AAAUAUAAUUUCCCCAGUUACCGAGUUCGUCGCUCGCGUGUCUCACUGUGUUUUUUCGAUUGUCCCUUAGUUCAUGGCCAUCUAAAACAUGAAUAUUACUCAAUUUGUGCUAUCGAAGGAAUCUUCAUGAAUGGUUACCGAGCUCUUUUACACAUUCAUUUCCUAACUUCGACGAGCAUAAUUACAUAUUUCCUCACGUCUAUGGUUUCUAUCGCUAUCUCUUUCUAAGAUUUUCUAUUUUUAAGAGACGUAAAAAUUAAUUAGGCUCAACUAAAAAUCAAUGCUCUAUUGUUCCCAGACUCAUAAAUUUUAAAGAUUUUUAAAAAGAAAAAGAAAUGAGAAGAAAGAAGAGUCGAGGCUCCCUUUCACAUCUUCACAUCUGUAUGCUUUUCUUUAUAAUUUUAUUUUUCUCACUUUUCUUCAUGCUUCUUGAUUCGUUAAAUUCUAAAUUUUUUUACAGAGACAAUGAAAGAAGAAGAAGAAAGAAGAGUUGAGGAAAAACAGGAAAAUCAUGAUCAAGAGGACUAUCUCAAUCUAUUCGCAUAGUAGCAAUCAUCUGACGAAGAAAUUGAGGAGGAGGAUGAGUUUGCCAAUGAAGAAGAAAAUGAGGAGGAGGAUGAUUUUACCAAUGAGGAAGAGGCUGAUUAGAAGAUUGACUACAUAAAUUCUCAGUCUCUUAGAUCAAAUUUGAAGUGUCAAUUCAGAUGCACGAGGAAAAAAUAGAAUGAAGAAGCUGCAGAUUGCUGUACUUCAAAGUGGGAGGCUGGUUUGUGUUUAAGCCAUUACUCUUAUAUAUAGUCAACUUAUGAAAGUCUUCUUCUUCCUUUUGUGUUUACAUGUGAGGAUCGAACUUGUGGUGUCAUGUGAGUAAUCACCCAAGUACUGUACUGACUGAUUAGUGAUUACUUACGUACUUGACUUGUUUGUUAUUCUCAUUUUCAAUCCGAU
rnacentral:lncRNA from 1 species